GGAGGGUGCAAGCGUUAUUCGGAAUCACUGGGCGUAAAGGACGCGUAGGCGGGAAGCCAAGUCUGAUGUGAAAUCCUAUGGCUUAACCAUAGAACUGCAUUGGAAACUGGCUACCUAGAGUAUGGGAGGGGGAGAUGGAAUUAGUGGUGUAGGGGUAAAAUCCGUAGAUAUCACUAGGAAUACCGAAAGCGAAGGCGAUCUCCUGGAACAAUACUGACGCUAAGGCGUGAAAGCGUGGGGAGCAAACGGGAUUAGAUACCCCGGUAGUCCACGCCCUAAACGAUGUUCACUAGUCGUCGGAAUGCUAGUCAUUUCGGUGAUGCACUUAACAGAUUAAGUGAACCGCCUGGGGAGUACGGUCGCAAGAUUAAAACUCAAAGGAAUAGACGGGGACCCGCACAAGUGGUGGAGCAUGUGGUUUAAUUCGAAGAUACGCGAAGAACCUUACCUAGCCUUGACAUUGAUUGAACGGACCAGAGAUGGACCGGUGCCCUUCGGGGAACAUGAAAACAGGUGCUGCACGGCUGUCGUCAGCUCGUGUCGUGAGAUGUUGGGUUAAGUCCCGCAACGAGCGCAACCCUCGUCAAUAGUUGCCAGCAGGUUAAGCUGGGCACUCUAUUGAGACUGCCUUCGUAAGGAGGAGGAAGGUGAGGACGACGUCAAGUCAUCAUGGCCCUUAUGGCUAGGGCUACACACGUGCUACAAUGGGGCGUACAGAGAGUUGCGAUACCGCGAGGUGGAGCCAAUCUCAUAAAGCGUCUCUCAGUUCGGAUUGAAGUCUGCAACUCGACUUCAUGAAGCUGGAAUCACUAGUAAUCGUAGAUCAGCAAUGCUACGGUGAAUACGUUCCCGGGUCUU
rnacentral:rRNA from 1 species